UGGGGAAUUUUGCGCAAUGGGCGAAAGCCUGACGCAGUAACGCCGCGUGGAGGAUGAAGGCCUUCGGGUUGUAAACUCCUGUCAGGAGGAACGACGGAGAGAGGACGAUAAGUCUUUUCUUCCAGACGGUACCUCCAAAGGAAGCCCCGGCUAAUUCCGUGCCAGCAGCCGCGGUAAUACGGAAGGGGCGAGCGUUGUUCGGAAUCAUUGGGCGUAAAGGGCGCGUAGGUGGUCUUGUAUGUCUACCGUGAAAGCAGACGGCUCAACCGUGUAAUGUCGGUAGAAACUGCAGGACUUGAGGCUGGGAGGGGCUGGUGGAAUUCCCUGUGUAGCGGUGAAAUGCGUAGAGAUGGGGGAGAACACUCGUGGCGAAGGCGGCCAGCUAGACCAGUUCUGACACUGAGGCGCGACAGCGUGGGGAGCAAACAG
rnacentral:rRNA from 1 species